UAGGGAAUCUUCCACAAUGGACGCAAGUCUGAUGGAGCAACGCCGCGUGAGUGAAGAAGGUUUUCGGACCGUAAAGCUCUGUUGUUGGUGGAGAAGGAUAGAGGUAGUAACUGGCCUUUAUUUGACGGUAAUCAACCAGAAAGUCACGGCUAACUACGUGCCAGCAGCCGCGGUAAUCGUAGGUGGCAAGCGUUGUCCGGAUUUAUUGGGCGUAAAGCGAGCGCAGGCGGAAGAAUAAGUCUGAUGUGAAAGCCCUCGGCUUAACCGAGGAAUUGCAUCGGAAACUGUUUUCUUGAGUGCAGAAGAGGAGAGUAGAACUCCAUGUGUAGCGGUGGAAUGCGUAGAUAUAUGGAAGAAUACCAGUGGCGAAGGCGGCUCUCUGGUCUGCAACUGACGCUGAGGCUCGAAAGCAUGGGUAGCGAACAGGAUUAGAUACCCUGGUAGUCCAUGCCGUAAACGAUGAGUGCUAAGUGUUGGGAGGCCUCCGCUUCUCAGUGCUGCAGCUAACGCAUUAAGCACUCCGCCUGGGGGAGUACGACCGCAAGGUUGAAAC
rnacentral:rRNA from 1 species